GACGAACGCUGGCGGCGUGCUUAACACAUGCAAGUCGAACGGAAAGGCCCUGCUUUUGUGGGGUGCUCGAGUGGCGAACGGGUGAGUAACACGUGAGUAACCUGCCCUUGACUUUGGGAUAACUUCAGGAAACUGGGGCUAAUACCGGAUAGGAGCUCCUGCUGCAUGGUGGGGGUUGGAAAGUUUCGGCGGUUGGGGAUGGACUCGCGGCUUAUCAGCUUGUUGGUGGGGUAGUGGCUUACCAAGGCUUUGACGGGUAGCCGGCCUGAGAGGGUGACCGGCCACAUUGGGACUGAGAUACGGCCCACACUCCUACGGGAGGCAGCAGUGGGGAAUAUUGCACAAUGGGCGGAAGCCUGAUGCAGCAACGCCGCGUGCGGGAUGACGGCCUUCGGGUUGUAAACCGCUUUCCCCUGUGACGAAGCGUGAGUGACGGUAAUGGGUAAAGAAGCACCGGCUAACUACGUGCCACCAGCCGCGGUUGAUACGUAGGCGUGCGAGCGUUUCCCGGAUUUAUUGGGCGUAAAGGGCUCGUAGGUGGUUGAUCGCGUCGGAAGUGUAAUCUUGGGGCUUUUCCUGAGCGUGCUUUCGAUACGGGUUGACUUGAGGAAGGUAGGGGAGAAUGGAAUUCCUGGUGGAGCGGUGGAAUGCGCAGAUAUCAGGAGGAACACCAGUGGCGAAGGCGGUUCUCUGGGCCUUUCCUGACGCUGAGGAGCGAAAGCGUGGGGAGCGAACAGGCUUAGAUACCCUGGUAGUCCACGCUGUAAACGGUGGGUACUAGGUGUGGGGUCCAUUCCACGGGUUCCGUGCCGUAGCUAACGCUUUAAGUACCCCGCCUGGGGAGUACGGCCGCAAGGCUAAAACUCAAAGGAAUUGACGGGGCCCCGCACAAGCGGCGGAGCAUGCGGAUUAAUUCGAUGCAACGCGUAGAACCUUACCUGGGUUUGACAUGGAUCGGGAGCGCUCAGAGAUGGGUGUGCCUCUUUUGGGGUCGGUUCACAGGUGGUGCAUGGCUGUCGUCAGCUCGUGUCGUGAGAUGUUGGGUUAAGUCCCGCAACGAGCGCAACCCUUGUUCACUGUUGCCAGCACGUUAUGGUGGGGACUCAGUGGAGACCGCCGGGGUCAACUCGGAGGAAGGUGGGGAUGACGUCAAGUCAUCAUGCCCCUUAUGUCCAGGGCUUCACGCAUGCUACAAUGGCUGGUACAGAGAGUGGCGAGCCUGUGAGGGUGAGCGAAUCUCGGAAAGCCGGUCUCAGUUCGGAUUGGGGUCUGCAACUCGACCUCAUGAAGUCGGAGUCGCUAGUAAUCGCAGAUCAGCAACGCUGCGGUGAAUACGUUCCCGGGGCU
rnacentral:rRNA from 1 species